rnacentral:rRNA from 1 species
UACGUAGGGUGCAAGCGUUGUCCGGAAUUAUUGGGCGUAAAGAGCUCGUAGGUGGCCUGUCGCGUCGGCUGUGAAAACUCGGGGCUCAACUCCGAGCUUGCAGUCGAUACGGGCAGGCUAGAGUUCGGCAGGGGAGACUGGAAUUCCUGGUGUAGCGGUGGAAUGCGCAGAUAUCAGGAGGAACACCGGUGGCGAAGGCGGGUCUCUGGGCAACAACUGACGCUGAGGAGCGAAAGCGUGGGGAGCGAACAGG